rnacentral:rRNA from 1 species
GCUUGUCUCAAAGAUUAAGCCAUGCAUGUCUAAGUACAAGCCUCAGUAAGGUGAAACCGCGAAUGGCUCAUUAAAUCACACCUAAUCUACUGGAAAGUUACUAGUUACUUGGAUAACUGAGGUAAUUCUUGAGCUAAUACAUGCAUAAAUCCCCGACUGCUUGGAAGGGGUGUAUUUAUUAGAUGGAAACCAAUUCGGGGUAACCCGGUUUAUGGUGAUUCAUAAUAACUUUCGGAUCGACGCAAGUCGAUGCAUCAUUCAAGUUUCUGCCCUAUCAGUUGUGGAUGGUAGGGUAUUGGCCUACCAUGACUUUAACGGGUAACGGAGAAUUAGGGUUCGAUUCCGGAGAGGGAGCCUGAGAAAUGGCUACCACAUCCAAGGAAGGCAGCAGG